AAUUAAAUAUUUCAUUUAAAAAACUAAAUAUUUAGUUUGGAGCUAAAUAUUUAGUUUGCAAAUUAGAUAGUUUGGAAAUGAAUAAAACUUAAAGCCUUUAGACUAAAGACUGUAACACUGUCAGUUUCCAUUCAUUGACUGCAGAUUAAAACUCUGAGAUGUUCAACAGAGAAAACUGACGGGGAGAAAACAGGCCAGAUGUGACCAGCAUCACAAACCUUUAAUACGUGGAAGAGAAACCCAGGAGGAAAAACAUCCCAGGAAAAGACAGGAAAUGUUGGACGUCAGAGUUCAACAUGUCUGACGUGUUGAACAACGAGGAAGUGAUUCAUGGUGACAAUCGUCCUUAAAUUAAACAUAAAGCCGAAGAAAUGAAGCCACUUCUGGUGGAUUUCUCCAGUUUCUUCCUACAGAUGACGACUGACAGCAGAAACAUCUCAUGAAAAUUUCACCUCCGUUCUGCAUCUGGUCAAAUUACUGGAGGUUUGUGGAAACAGGAAACUGUUCUUCUGCUGUGAUUCAGGACAAACGAGGCGUUGGGUUUGGUUUGGUUGUUUCCUUAAAGACAGCGAACAUGGCGUCCCUCAGAGAGACUCUGAUAAACCGACCGCCGCCACGACCCCCACGACCUCCACCGACCGGCAGCAGCGUUCAGGCUGAGCCGCCACAGAACGGCGAUGAGGGAGUUUCAUGUCAGGAGAAAAUGUCGAACAGAACCAACAAAGAAGACGACCUGCAGCUCGCUGUCAACCGGCUGGGCCUCCAGAACCUCAGCAGAACCAGAACCAGAACCAUCACCUGCCCAAAAUAACUAAGUUCGUUUUCCACCAUGUUGCCGUUUGGAUCAUCCUGCAGGAGGAAGUAAUCGGAUUACUGCUGGACUCCAGAUCUGUUCGUUCAGAGGAUUUGUGGCAGAUUUCUUUGUUUUCAAAGGGAAACAAUCCGAUGGAUCUGAAGGCUUUUCUUGUGAAACGGUUUCUGCAGCCAACAGUGAUUCCCAGGUUUUAUCUGCUGCUCUUCCUCUGAGCAGCAGGAGGAAGAGGAGGAGGAGGAAGAGCAGAGCCUCAGGGAAGAUUUAGUUUGUCCUCCACAGAAGACGGGACAUUUGUCUUCUAUAUUUAUUUAUCUUCCUUCUUACAAACAGCCGCAGGCUGCAGCAGCAGCAGAGGUCAUCAGUUAGACUCUGAGCUGCGUCUCUCCGUCCUCCACCAGCAGCACUGCUGCAGCAGCUGCUGCAGUGCUGCUGCUUCCCUCAGGCUGAUGCUGCUCCUACCGACCGGCAGCAGGACGGAUGGAGGAGGGAGGAUCUGGAAAAGCAGCUAAACAGGAAAAACUGAGAACUUUUCCACUAAAACAAACUAACUGGAACUUUAUCACGAUUUUUUAAAAUUAAAACUGAAAUUGAACAUAA